rnacentral:lncRNA from 1 species
GACUCCUGCCCCUGCCACGAGAACACACCCUUUCCAGUUUGCUGGAGAAAUAUAAGAGAAGUCCAGUGAAAGAGAGCUGAGUUUCCCCAAUGAUGCCAUCAAGAUGAACUAACUACAGUUAACCAGCCAGCUGAUAGCAGAUGCAUGAGUGAGCCCAGCUGAGAGCAGGUGAAACUGAAAUUGGCUGUAUCAUCUGAAACUUCAUCUGUGAAGUCCCUGGUGGUUUCCUAGAUGACUACACAGUUGAGUUGCCUCUGAUUGGAAAAUGUUUUGGUUUUUCAGUUUGUACAAGAGGAAGAAGACGCAUGAUAUGUGUUUGGCUCAUGUGCCUGAAUAUGGCUCCACAGGGAAGACUUGAUACAGCUGAAGCUAUUGCUUUUUAGAGACUUUUUAUUUUGAGCAGCUGCCUUAACAGCCUUCGUCUUGUUACAUCACAUGAGAUAUAUCUCUGGAAUAG